GUGCUCAUUUCAGCAGCAUGUAUAAUAAAAUGGGAACAGUACAGAGACUAACACGGCCCCUGCACGAGAAUGACAUGCAGAUUCGUGAAGUGUUCCAUAGGAAG